rnacentral:rRNA from 1 species
AGUGAACGCUGGCGGUAGGCCUAACACAUGCAAGUCGAACGGCAGCACAGUAAGAGCUUGCUCUUACGGGUGGCGAGUGGCGGACGGGUGAGGAAUACAUCGGAAUCUACUUUUUCGUGGGGGAUAACGUAGGGAAACUUACGCUAAUACCGCAUACGACCUACGGGUGAAAGCAGGGGAUCUUCGGACCUUGCGCGAUUGAAUGAGCCGAUGUCGGAUUAGCUAGUUGGCGGGGUAAAGGCCCACCAAGGCGACGAUCCGUAGCUGGUCUGAGAGGAUGAUCAGCCACACUGGAAUUGAGACACGGUCCAGACUCCUACGGGAGGCAGCAGUGGGGAAUAUUGGACAAUGGGCGCAAGCCUGAUCCGGCCAUACCGCGUGGGUGAAGAAGGCCUUCGGGUUGUAAAGCCCUUUUGUUGGGAAAGAAAAGCAGCAGGUUAAUACCCCGCUGUUCUGACGGUACCCAAAGAAUAAGCACCGGCUAACUUCGUG